UGGGGAAUCUUGCGCAAUGGGCGAAAGCCUGACGCAGCAACGCCGCGUGAGGGAUGAAGGCUUUCGGGUUGUAAACCUCUUUCAGUAGGAACGAAAUUGACGGUACCUACAGAAGAAGCUCCGGCCAACUACGUGCCAGCAGCCGCGGUAAUACGUAGGGAGCAAGCGUUGUCCGGAUUUAUUGGGCGUAAAGAGCUCGUAGGCGGCUUUGAAAGUCAGGUGUGAAACCUCCAGGCUCAACCUGGAGACGCCACUUGAUACUUCAAUGGCUUGAGUUUGGUAGGGGAACACGGAAUUCCUGGUGUAGCGGUGAAAUGCGCAGAUAUCAGGAGGAACACCGAUGGCGAAGGCAGUGUUCUGGGCCAAAACUGACGCUGAGGAGCGAAAGCGUGGGGAGCGAACAGG
rnacentral:rRNA from 1 species